rnacentral:misc_RNA from 1 species
GAUGAAGAACGUAGCGAAAUGCGAUAAGUAAUGUGAAUUGCAGAAUUCAGUGAAUCAUCGAAUCUUUGAACGCACAUUGCGCCCGCCAGUAUUCUGGCGGGCAUGCCUGUCCGAGCGUCAUUUCAACCCUCGAACCCCUCCGGGGGGUCGGCGUUGGGGAUCGGCCCUUUCACCGGGUGCCGGCCCCUAAAUACAGUGGCGGUCUCGCCGCAGCCUCUCAUGCGCAGUAGUUUGCACACUCGCACCGGGAGCGCGGCGCGUCCUCGUCCGUAAAACACCCCAAACUUCUGAAAUGUUGACCUCGGAUCAGGUAGGAAUACCCGCUGAACUUAAGCAUAUCAAUAAGCGGGGA